CGCUGUGGAAAAAUUAAAAACUUAUAACGAGCUGCAAACAAUUGCAUCUCAUUGGAUGUUAUUUUUGUAUUCUUAGUUUCUAGCAGGUUUCCGGAUAACACCAUAGCACUUUGGGAACAAUGAAUAGUAGACAAGGCCGAAAUUCCGAGGUUGGAAUAACUAGAUAGAUUCUAGACGCUAGAAACAGUAUCAAAUAUUCAAAGUACGCAAGUAUUUAAGGUAGGACAAAAUAGGAUUCAUAUAACAUCGUUGGGGAAAAAACUUGCCUAGUCACCAUACCCAAUUUUCACAGCCUGUUUGUAGAUUAUGCCCAUCAUAUGCGCUAAAGGCUUGUCCAAAAUUUUUAGCUAUGAAGAAGGACGACCGAACCAAGAUAGUAAGGAUGUACAGCUAGUGCUUGAGGUGUGUAGCACAUCCAAAUAUUGCACAAAAGAGCAAGAGUACCUUUACCUGUUUCGGUUGUCACCAACGACAUCAUUCAUUUCUACAUAGGGCACCGACUGGAAACAGGCCAUCGCCAUCAACCAGUCGUUCCCAAUCAGAUAACAGAGAAGAUAAGGGUACUCAAUCUCCAACAACUUCCAGCGAGAUUCAGGCCCUGUUUGCAGCAAAUGCAUUGCGAUAGUAUACAUAUGCUACAAAGAAGUGAAUUGCGAAGCAAGGGCACUUUUGGAUUCUGGUCACAGGGCACGUUCAUCACAAAGCGGCUGGAAAGACGCAUUAAACUAUUAACACAACCUGUGGACUUUCAGAUAAGUGUCAUCAACACAACGACACCAGCUAAGAGGCCCGAUUCUCCUUCAACUCACAGAGAACAUCCCACAGCUUGCAGUUGGCCAAUUGGAUUUGAGUCUACUGCCACCGAUUAAUUUAGCCGAUGUCAACUUUUAUAGAAGUCAGUAUGUUGAUUUGGUGAUUUGUGCGGACCUGUACCCAGCGAUAAUGAUGGGAAUUAUUAAAAGGAAGGGAUAUUUUUUAAAUAUUAUAGUACAGGAAACUCCCCGCGGUGAAGUAGCAUUGACACAAAGGCGUUGUUACUAAAGUGGCGUUUUUUCAAAUAUGUUUUUAAUGCAGAUAUCGAGUAGAUGUAUCGACAUAUUUUAUUGCAGGAGGUUGACACGAAGUUCUAGUGGAUUAUUCUUAGAGAUUCCAUACCUAGCAAUAAGGACUCUACUUCAGCUGGCGGAAGAUGUUAGUUUGAAAUAUCCACUAGCCUCAAGAGUCUUGAAGCAGGAUAUAUAUGUGAACGAUGCUCUGGCUGGAGCACAUGAUUGUGAGAUAGUCAUUCGCACUCGGAAUGAACUUGUGCAAUCCUUGCAGGGAGCUGGUUUCCACUUGCGGAAAUAGACCUCAAACACUAAGGAAGUUUUGGCUGCUCUGGUGCAGAAUUGUUCGACCCGGAAGGCUGGUUGGUUCCCAUCGUGGUGGAGGCAAAAAUACUAAUGCAGGGUGUAUGGCUCAUGAAGAUUGACUGGGAUGAUGUUCACCUAGAGGAAUUUACUUACGCUCGACGUUGCCAGUGGUCUCCAAAUGGAUGAAUUCUACCAUCGUUCUGUCAUGGAUGCGGAAGCACAUUGCAGCUGGACUACCUUUAUAGCAAAUCGGUGGCGAAAAUCGAAGAACUAGUUGGAGUCAUUGGAUGGAAUCAUGUGGAUUCUAUUGGCAAUCUCGCCUAUCUGGGCAGCCGCAGAGAGCAUCAUCUGGUGGCGCGGUACGUCAUUAUUGAAACGACAUCCAAAAAAGAGAUGUCAUAAUGAAAACAGAAUUGGAGCAAAAGAUUGUGAGAAUUCAUACAGCGCAAAUUACAUACACAGAAGAUAUCUUGCAAUAAUUGCAUUUUUAGGAUCAGAUCACCGCGUUCGAGUAGUAGAAAUGCUUACUACACGUUGUCUAACAACAAGACCAAUCGUUAUAUUAGUAAUGCUUCCUGUUGUAAGACCAACUAAUGAAUCCUUUUUUUCUGAGAAUUACGAAAUGAUUCAAGUCAACAACAUCAACAUCCUGAAGGACCAACACCGCCGUCCAGUCUGCAAGAACAACCAUCCGCUUCUAUUUUGCUAACAGAUGCGCCGGAUUAAAUCCACAGAGAGACUCCGGGCUGUCCUCUUCAACUGUCACUGUGCCUAUUGUCUGCCGCAGCAUCACAUAGCCAGCCGAUGUCCAUCGGCAAAGCAUGCCACGAACGGCACCACAGUCUCCUUUAUCUGUGCGAAAUGGAGGAAGACCUGCCUUACAUCCAAGGCAUGGUAGACGGUCAGUACAAAAGACAGGGUCCAUACCGAGCUCCACCGUUGAUUGAGUCCACCGAUGAAGAAGUGUUGCAAAUAGAUGCCAGCAGCAAAACUCUGGUAGAAAUAACAGAGCCAGCGUCCAGUCGCAGCGAUCCGACGGUACUCAGAUCGCUGCUAACGAAUGUCCAAUCAGUGAUUCAGCGGCCAAUCCAGCCCACCAAAGAACAAAUUGUGCACCCACGACAACAACGAAGUCAUAAUAAUCAAGCAUAUUCAGAGAACAAGCAGAUCUGUCCCCACGCCGACGGUAAUGGUGACGCUUACCUUGAAGGGUGAAUCUGAGAUUGGCCGACCCGUUCUUUUGUAGGAAAAUCACCGUGUGUUUAUAUUAGAUGCCGAUAUUUACGCAGCGAUUCUGAGGCCAGGAUUAAUGCCUGCAAAACUAAAUAGGCCAGGGGCACAGAGCACACUUUGGAUAGGUGAUAUCCGGCAGUAUUAGGAAUUCGUAAUAAUCAUCUUUAGUGUCAAGUAAAAUGAAAUGUGAAUUAAAUUUUCCAAUGAAGUGUUAUUUAUGAAUUUUUGAUCUAUAGUUUUUGAGCUUUCAUUGAAAGAAUAACUUGUAUUUAUAAACCUAUUUAAGUAUUUCUAUUGCCGGUCUAACGUUCUCUUUUAAUUAUAGCU
rnacentral:lncRNA from 1 species